rnacentral:rRNA from 1 species
GUGAGGAAUAUUGGACAAUGGGCGCAAGCCUGAUCCAGCAAUGCCGCGUGGGUGAAGAAGGUCUUCGGAUCGUAAAGCCCUUUCGACAGGGACGAUGAUGACGGUACCUGUAGAAGAAGCCCCGGCUAACUUCGUGCCAGCAGCCGCGGUAAUACGAAGGGGGCUAGCGUUACUCGGAAUUACUGGGCGUAAAGGGCGCGUAGGCGGCUCUGUUAGUCAGGCGUGAAAUUCCUGGGCUUAACCUGGGGACUGCGCUUGAUACUGCAGGGCUUGAGGCCGAGAGAGGGUGGUGGAAUUCCCAGUGUAGAGGUGAAAUUCGUAGAUAUUGGGAAGAACACCGGUGGCGAAGGCGACCACCUGGCUCGGUUCUGACGCUGAGGCGCGACAGCGUGGGGAGCAAACAGGAUUAGAUACCCCAGUAGUCC